rnacentral:lncRNA from 1 species
AUGAUUGCGAGUUGGAAAUGUCAAGUCUCCAGAAAUGACAAUAUUGCCACGAUCACACCAGCCUGGAAUUAUCUUCAUGCUGCAAAACUUCUCUUCAUGCUCCUUGCUUUCCACUGGCCUUUCUCUGAAUGUUUGACAGCAAAUAGGUUUUGCUGUCUGUUUUUUUUUUUUUUUUUUAAAAAUUAUACUCUAAGUUCUGGAAUACAUGUGCAAAAUGUGCAGGUUUGUUACAUAGGUAUACAUGUGCCAUGGUGGUCUGCUGCACCCAACAACCUGUCAUCUGCAUUAGGUAUUUUUUCUAAUGCUCUCCCUCCCCUUACUCCCCCCACCAACAGGCCCUGGUGUGUGAUGUUCCCCUCCCUGUGUCCAUGUGUUCUCGUUGUUCAACUUCCACUAUAAGUGAGAACAUGCAGUGCUUGGUUUUCUGUUCUUGUUUUAGUUUGCUGAGAAUGAUGGGUUUCCAGCUUUAUCCAUGUCCCUGCAAAUGACAUGAACUCAUCCAUUUUUAUGGCUGCAUAGUACUCUAUGGUGUAUAUGUGCCACAUUUUCUUUAUCCAGUCUAUCAUUAAGGGGCAUUUCGAUUGAUGCCAAGUCUUUGCUAUUGUAAAUUGUGCCACAGUAAACAUGUGUGCAUGUGUCUUUAUAGUAGAAUGUAUUAUAAUCCUUUGGGUAUAUACCCAGUAAUGGGGUUUGUGGGUCAAAUGGCAUUUCUGGUUCUAGAUCCUUGAGGAAUUGCCACACUGUCUUCCACAAUGGUUGAACUAAUUUACUCUCCCCCAACAGUGUAAAAGCCUUCCUGUUUCUCCACAUCCUCUCCAGCAUCUGUUGUCUCCUGACUUUAAUGAUCGCCAUUCUAAUUGGCGUGAGAUGGUAUCUCACUGGGUUUUGAUUAGUAUUUCUGGAAUGACCAGUGAUGACGAGUGUUUUUCUUACGUUCGUUGGCCACAUAAAUGUCUUCUUUUGAGAAGUGUCUGUUCGUAUCCUUCCCUCACUUUUUGAUGGGUUGUUUUUUUCUUGUAAAUUUGUUUAAGUUCCUUGUAGAUUCUGGAUAUUAGACCUUUGUCAGAUGAAUAGAUGACAAAAAUUUUCCCCCAUUUUCUAGUUUGCCUAUUCACUCUGAUGAUAGUUUCUUUUGCUGUGCAGAAGCUCUUCAGUUUAAUUAGAUCCCAUUUGUCAAUUUUGAGUUUUGAUGCAAUUGCUUUUGGUGUUUUAGUCAUGAAGUCUGCCUGUGGCUAUGUCCUGAGUGGUAUUGCCUAGUUUUCUUCUAGAGUUUUUGUGGUUUUAGGUCUUACAUUUAAGCCUUUGAUCCAUCUUGAGUUAAUUUUUGUAUAAGGUGUAAGGAAGGG